rnacentral:rRNA from 1 species
GAUGAACGCUGGCGGUAUGCUUUACACAUGCAAGUCGUACGAGAGUUUUAACUCAAGUGGCGGACGGGUGAGUAACACGUGAGAAUUUACCUUUAGGAGGGGGAUAACAACUGGAAGCGGUUGCUAAUACCCCAUAUGCUUUCGAGUGAAAUGGAUUUUCCGCCUAGAGAGAAGCUUGCGGCUGAUUAGCUUGUUGGUAAGGUAAUGGCUUACCAAGGCGACGAUCAGUAUCUGGUCUGAGAGGAUGAUCAGACACACUGGAACUGAGACACGGUCCAGACUCCUACGGGAGGCAGCAGUGGGGAAUUUUCCGCAAUGGGCGAAAGCCUGACGGAGCAAUACCGCGUGAGGGAUGACGGCCUAUGGGUUGUAAACCUCUUUUUUCAGGGAGGAAGAAAAUGACGUGUACCUGAAGAAUAAGCAUCGGCUAACUCCGUGCCAGCAGCCGCGGUAAGACGGAGGAUGCAAGUGUUAUCCGGAAUCACUGGGCGUAAAGCGUCUGUAGGUGGUCAAAUAGUUCAACUGUUAAAUCUCGAGGCUCAACCUCGAAAUCGCAGUCGAAACUAUUCGAC